AAUUAUUGGGCGUAAAGAGNUCGUAGGCGGUUUGUCGCGUCUGUCGUGAAAGUCCGGGGCUUAACCCCGGNUCUGCGGUGGGUACGGGCAGACUAGAGUGCAGUAGGGGAGACUGGAAUUCCUGGUGUAGCGGUGGAAUGCGCAGAUAUCAGGAGGAACACCGAUGGCGAAGGCAGGUCUCUGGGCUGUAACUGACGCUGAGGAGCGAAAGCAUGGGGAGCGAACAGGAUUAGAUACCCUGGUAGUCCAUGCCGUAAACGUUGGGCACUAGGUGUGGGGACCAUUCCACGGUUUCCGCGCCGCAGCUAACGCAUUAAGUGCCCCGCCUGGGGAGUACGGCCGCAAGGCUAAAACUCAAAGGAAUUGACGGGGGCCCGCACAAGCGGCGGAGCAUGCGGAUUAAUUCGAUGCAACGCGAAGAACCUUACCAAGGCUUGACAUGUUCUCGAUCGCCGUAGAGAUACGGUUUCCCCUUUGGGGCGGGUUCACAGGUGGUGCAUGGUUGUCGUCAGCUCGUGUCGUGAGAUGUUGGGUUAAGUCCCGCAACGAGCGCAACCCUCGUUCCAUGUUGCCAGCACGUCGUGGUGGGGACUCAUGGGAGACUGCCGGGGUCAACUCGGAGGAAGGUGAGGACGACGUCAAAUCAUCAUGCCCCUUAUGUCUUGGGCUUCACGCAUGCUACAAUGGCCGGUACAAUGGGUUGCGAUACUGUGAGGUGGAGCUAAUCCCAAAAAGCCGGUCUCAGUUCGGAUUGGGGUCUGCNNNNNNACCCCANGAANUNGGAGNCGC
rnacentral:rRNA from 1 species